UGGUAAAUUACAGUGCAAAUCUCUUUUGGCAUGCAGAGAAUUCAUGCAAUUCAGCAAUUGCCAAUUUGCUGCCAUGCCAAAGGAGACUUGCCCUGCCAUUCGCCA
rnacentral:pre_miRNA from 1 species